rnacentral:rRNA from 1 species
GAUUUCUGGUUGGAUGCGCCUAGCCCGCCACGGUUACGUGUGUGAGUGCCGGGUCGCGUCGACCAUCCUUCUAGAGAACCUAUCUACUCUUCAUUGAGCCGGAUAUGGCAAUCUAGAUCUUUUACUUUGAAAAAAUUAGAGUGUUUAAAGCAGGCUUUUGCUAUGAAUACAUUAGCAUGGAAUAAUAAUUUAGGACUUCGGUUCUAUUUUGUUGGUUUCUAGGACUGAAGUAAUGAUUGAUAGGGAUAGUUGGGGGUGCUAGUAUUCAGCGGCCAGAGGUGAAAUUCUCGGAUUCGCUGAAGACUAACUUAUGCGAAAGCAUU